GAGAGGAUCGCUUCUCUCUUCUGCUAUGAAUCAAUAACUCAACUCUCAAUUCUGCUGGCCGCAAUGUUCUACUUUGAUUAAGAUAAGGAAGCUGAGGAAGACAGAGGUUAAGAGUCUGGUCCAGCAUCACACAGGUAGUAUCUGAGGAAGGAUUUUACCCCUGGCUUUCGGGAUUCCAAGUCCCACUCUCCAUACACUACAUUACCAAAACAAAGAAAGGAAACUGUAACCCCAAGAUUCAACUUCGACCACAUACUCUAUGAACCAUUUUGUGGAAGGGACCUGAAGAGUUACCACUCUCAGAUAUGAUUGUACUAUUACAUUAUUGUGCAUAAUAAACACGAUAAUACAAACAAAAAAUGGAAAAUAGCUAUAGGUGAAAACUGUGGGAGCAGGGCUACUGUUCUUUCAGCCCCAAGAUGCUACUCAGAACUUGAUAAAGUCUCUCUCAUCUCACUAUGUAUGCUCUAACAAACAACUCAGUUUUACUGGAGCAAGCAGGUGUUUUUCCACUGAACAGGGAGGAACUUUUUAGUGCUGCCCCUUCAAAGACCUGCUACAUCUCUGGCCCCAGUGAAGACUGUAAGAACAAAACCUUUUUUCUGAGGAGGCUACAAACACCGUGAGGCCCUUUGGGACCUACACAAUCAAGCACCUUCAAAUCGGUUGGAGAGGGGAGAAUGAGUGUUUGGGCUGGGAAGAGCAAGUCCUCCACUCAAAAUAAGAUUCUUUCUACUACUAGAGGGCACUAGUUGAACCUACAAUAACUUAGGGUUAUAGCCACAGGUUCUAUAGUUAUUGAUUAAAUAAAUCCAAAUUCAGGUUAAAAAAAAUGCAAAAGAGGGCUGGUCUCUGCCAAGUCCCUGCCCCUACUACAUUUGUAGUUUUGUUAUAGCUUAAUUAUUUUCAAAUGAAAUUUCAACCCCUUUGCCUGGAAUUCAAGAUCCUAAACAACAAUGCCACACUACUUUUCCAGCCUUAUUUCAUAUUACUGACCUCUAUAUACUCUACACUUCAAACAAACUGGAUAACUUUCUAUCCUUCAUACAUGCAUCAUGCUUUCAUGCUUCCGUGUCUUCAUGGUGAUUUAUGUGCCUGAAAUGGUAGCCUUGUCUCUCUUCAUCUAAAGAGAUGAAGACAUCCUUGACAUCCUUCCUAUAAAUUCCAGCUCAAAUGCCAUCUCUUCCAGAAGCCUUCCAAGAAUCCUCCUGUGGGCUAUGUUGUUAACCUUCCCCCUUAGACCUCACAGUCACACUCACAUAGUGUAACUCAAUCAAAUCAUGAUAGCUACUUAUAGUGGUGUCUUAUUCCUUACUAGACUGGAAGUUCUUUGAGGACAGGUGACAUCUCUUAAAUUUUGUACCUCGAAUAGUGCUCCACAUACAACAGGCAUUUAAUAAAUGUUUAUUAUUUGA